CCUACGGGGGGCAGCAGUGGGGAAUAUUGGACAAUGGGGGCAACCCUGAUCCAGCCAUGCCGCGUGUGUGAAGAAGGCCCUCGGGUUGUAAAGCACUUUCAGUGAGGAAGAACGCCUGGUGGUUAAUACCCAUCAGGAAAGACAUCACUCACAGAAGAAGCACCGGCUAACUCCGUGCCAGCAGCCGCGGUAAUACGGAGGGUGCGAGCGUUAAUCGGAAUUACUGGGCGUAAAGCGCGCGUAGGUGGCUUGAUAAGCCGGCUGUGAAAGCCCCGGGCUCAACCUGGGAACGGCAUCCGGAACUGUCAAGCUAGAGUGCAGGAGAGGAAGGUAGAAUUCCCGGUGUAGCGGUGAAAUGCGUAGAGAUCGGGAGGAAUACCAGUGGCGAAGGCGGCCUUCUGGACUGACACUGACACUGAGGUGCGAAAGCGUGGGUAGCAAACAGGAUUAGAUACCCUUGUAGUC
rnacentral:rRNA from 1 species